UGGUAGUAGGUGCCAGGCGCACCGGUUUGUGUUAAGAGCUGCAACGCUCAACAGUUUCCCAUAUGUAUCAAGAAUGGUCCACCACCCAAAGGACAUCCAGCCAACUUGACACAACUGUGGCAAGCAUUGAAAUCAACAUGGGCCAGCAUCCCUGUGCAACACUUUUGACACCUUGUAGAGUCCAUGCCCCAACAAAUUGAGGCUGUUCUGAGGGCAAAGUAAGGUAUUCCUAAUAUUUAGUAUACUUGGUGUACAUGGCAAUUUAGAGGAAAGUUAUUGUUUUGGAGCAUAUCUGCAGACCUUUCUAUUUUGGCUGCACGUGUUCAAGUCUGAGAAGAGUGUUGUUGAUGAUAAAGUGUCAUAAAUCAUUGUUUUGGAUUGCCUAUGCUAUCUAAAUCAUAAAGCAGGAUCGAUUUAUGGUUUUGCUAUGUUUAUUCUGUAACCAAAACAUUGAUAUUGUCAAAGAAUUGUUUUAUUUGGUGAAGUAUCUAUUCAUCAAAUGGAUUAUGGCAUUGACAAAAUUAUGUGUUAACCCCAGAGAUCAGGGUCAAAUGCAUAUCUUUGCGGUGCACCUGAUUUAGCUUGGAGUUUGCAAUGUUGGUACUCUAUUCCAUUGGAACUUUUCUUCGGGGCAAAAAUGUGUCCAGUCAAAUAUUUUAAAGUAUUUGACAAUUGUAUUUGACCCAGGUUUGGCUAACCAUAAUUAGGUUUGAAAUAAUCAUUUGAUCUCCCCUAUCUUGGGAGGCUACAGUAGCCUGCACCUUACCGGAUGUUUUGACUGCUGAGUGGUUAUCUACCUAGCUUCCAAGGAACCAUCACAAUCUCGCACGUUUUAAACAUUUUUAUAUCAGUAUCACGUGAUCCAUUAUUAUCUCGAACGAAUUAGUUGAUGGUUAAGCUUUAAUAGAUAAUAAUACAUUUCUACUUUGCGGCAUAUGUGUAUAAAAGCAGAGGAGAUCCUGCUUCACUUCACCUGCAGUUUUUCCUACAUCAGGUAAGUGCUGAACUGCUCUUUCUAGAAGGACGAUGCGAGUUCCAUAUUACCCACACUAUACUUUUAAUGGUACUUGACUGACUUUUUACAAUGUUCUUUUUUUUUGUUCAACAUUGGAGGUAUCGGAUGUGUACGACUUUAUUUUGACAUUUGAUUAUCUGAAUAAUAUUGCAUAGUUGAACUCUUUAAUGUUUUAAGAGACAUUGUAUAAAAUUAGCAUGUUUUCUUUCCUCUCUUAGAUUAAGAGGGAAAACACUUGGACCAGAGCAUCUUCAUGCUUUGCCAUACCUCAGCACUGCUAUGUGCAGUAAACUGUCAUCCUCUGGUGGCUUUGAAUGAGGUGACAACUGGAAAUGAGGACAUGGACACCUCAGGGUAGUCCAUGAAUCCCAUUUUCUUAUGAGAAGACAAGCCAAGAUAACAUCUGAAACAUUAAUUCAACCUGCUACAUGAAUCAGUUAUUGUACGAUGAUUAUUCUAGAUUGCCUUUAAUGUUUUUGUCUUUGGUACAGAUACGUUUGACAGUGAUCUUGACGUCUCCGACGUAACUGAGGCAGCCGACGAAAACGUAGGCAUUGACAGACAUGAUACACUCAUCCUAUUUGGAGAUAUUGCUAUGGAAACUGGGAUUCGGAAUGCUUCUCCAUGCACGGCUGGAGAUUGCUAGUGGCCCAAAAGCAAGAAUGGGGUUGUGCCUGUGUAUAUCUCCUCUUUGUAUAGUAAGUGUAUUUUUGAAUUAAUUUUGUAUAGUGGCCAUUCACGCCUAACUUUCAUUAUGGUCGCCUUACUGCUGUCUAUUUUAAAGGGUCCUAUAUUCAGUGCGGUGAAAAUCGUCUUAUUCAUUCUUUACAGCCUUAGAGGAGCAAGAUAUCAUCAUGAAAGGACUGAUCUCCUUCCACCUAUCUACCUGCAUCCAGUAUGUGUGGUGGAAAUGGGUGUGUUACAAGUAGACGUUCAAGUGAAAAGGGAAUUCGUAUAAUGCAGUUUUGUCUCCAGUCGUUGUCUUUCCUAACACAAUACUGUUAAUAUCAAAGAUGAGACUGCCUGUGUGCUUUGCACCUGUCUCUAAGGUGCUGGUCAUAUUUGGGACGUCGAGGUGGUCAACAGCGUGGCUGUGUCCAUCAUGGUACGGUCCAGCAUGAAGUCCUGCAUGCUCUGGGCUUCCACCAUGAGCAGAACCGUGGCGACCGGGACAAUGAUGUCACAGAGAACAUCAGCAGAGGUUGCUUAUGUAUUUCUAUUGUCAGACUGACAAUACUAAUGGCUUAUCACAGUGAAAAAUCUCUCUCUAAAUCUCUCCUUUUAGGCAAGGAACACAAGUUCAGAAAGGUGGAAACCAAUAACUUGAUGACUCCGUAUGACUACACCUAUGUGAUGCACUAUGGAAGGGUCAGCUUCUAGGACUAUUUGUAUUUAUUCAAGCUAAAAUAAACCUUCAAUCUCCCACCUACAGGUAUGCCACAGUUGUACAUGUACUAUGCAAUGAUAUGUCUUCCAGGUAUGCGUUCUCUAAAGAUUAUGGUAAGCUGCCAACUACCAUUCCAAAGCCAGACUGUAAUGUUCAGAUCGGAGGGGCCCGAUAGCUGAGUCGCCUGGACAUCGUGAGGGUCAACAGGUUGUACUACUGCAGUGCGUAUUGGGCUUUAUUUUAAUAUAUCUUACAAUAGAAAAUACAUGUUUUCUUUCAAUCAUGCAUUUCAUAACAUGAGAAUAAAUGUUUGUUUUUGUCAACACUGCUGAUGAUGCUGUGUGCCAUUUUUUUUGUAUUUUUUUUUUUUGUAUUUUCACCCCAAUAGGAGGACACUUGAAUAAAUGAGUUUAGAAGGCUACGUCAGAUAUUUCAACCAACAACUAUUUGAAAUAAAAUCAAAUACCAGCUAAUCAAUUAGCUUCUGGAUGAGGUCAAAUUCACUUCGCACAAUACUCAUCACAUUGUGUUGUGGAUGCUUCACGACCCAGUUGGUUGCGAUUAUUCUCUCACCCAAAUGUAAACUUUUUUUGGUGUCAUUUUGACACUGUUAUUGUAGAUAUUAUUUUGGGUGAUUGUUGAGACGUUCAGUACUCAUUGUUCUAUUGCAUUGGUUGUGUGGUUAAUGUAACUUCAUAUCCCAUGUUUCCCCCAUUUAUUAGCAUUCAGAAUCUUGACAGUUACUGUACUGUAUCUAGCUGCAUUCAUAUUUGCUCAAUAAAAGCUCACUGUAUAUAUGCCAA